AAUGAACGCUGGCGGCGUGGUUAAGACAUGCAAGUCGAACGGUUUUUGUUGUGUAGCAAUACAUAACAAAAGCAGUGGCGAACGGGUGCGUAACACGUGAACAAUCUACCUUCAAAGUGGGGAAUAGCUCGCCGAAAGGCGAAUUAAUACCGCAUGUGGUUGCCUCUCGCAUGAGAAGCAUACCAAAGUCAGGGACCGCAAGGCCUGACGUUAGAAGAGGAGUUCGCGGCCUAUCAGCUAGUUGGCGAGGUAACGGCUCACCAAGGCUAAGACGGGUAGCUGGUCUGAGAGGAUGAUCAGCCACACUGGAAC
rnacentral:rRNA from 1 species